rnacentral:rRNA from 1 species
ACUCAAAUGAAUAGACGGGGGCCCGCACAAGCAGCGGAGCGUGUGGUUUAAUUCGACGCAACGCGCAGAACCUUACCCAGAUUUGACUUGCACCUGCAAGCCUCUGAAAGGAGGUCGCCUUCGAGGGUGGUGCACAGAUGCUGCAUGGCUGUCGUCAGCUCGUGUCGUGAGAUGUUGGGUUAAGUCCCGCAACGAGCGCAACCCCCGCGACCAGUUACCUGUGUCUGGUCGGACUGCCCUUCGGGGAGGAAGGCGGGGAUGACGUCAAGUCCGCAUGGCUCUUACGUCUGGGGCGACACACACGCUACAAUGACACCGACAGCGCGCAGCGACCGCGCAAGCGGAAGCGAAUCGCCAAACGGUGUCUCAGUGCAGAUCGGGGGCUGCAACUCGCCCCCGUGAAGGCGGAGUUGCUAGUAACCGCGUAUCAGCCACGGCGCGGUGAAUACGUACCCGGGCCUUGUACACACCGCCCGU